UGGGGAAUAUUGCGCAAUGGGCGAAAGCCUGACGCAGCGACGCCGCGUGAGGGAUGAAGGUUUUCGGAUCGUAAACCUCUGUCAGAAGGGAAGAAACCGCACUGUGCUAAUCAGCAGUGCCUUGACGGUACCUUCAAAGGAAGCACCGGCUAACUCCGUGCCAGCAGCCGCGGUAAUACGGAGGGUGCAAGCGUUAAUCGGAAUUACUGGGCGUAAAGCGCACGUAGGCUGCUUUGUAAGUCAGGGGUGAAAUCCCACGGCUCAACCGUGGAACUGCCUUUGAUACUGCUUAGCUUGAAUCCGGGAGAAGGUGGCGGAAUUCCAGGUGUAGGAGUGAAAUCCGUAGAUAUCUGGAGGAACAUCAGUGGCGAAGGCGGCCACCUGGACCGGUAUUGACGCUGAGGUGCGAAAGCGUGGGGAGCAAACAGG
rnacentral:rRNA from 1 species